AGCAGAGUGGUUUAGAAGAAUGGGUUUUUGAAUAUAGAUUUGUAGAGCAGCAAAUGAAGAGUGGGAGUUGAAAUGGUUACAAACAGAAAACAAAAGAACAAGAAAAAUGACAUAGGCCAAAUGUUUGUAUUGUGAAAUCUGUAAUCCAUUACAAUCUGUUACUCUGUGAGGAGAUGAAAUGUCAGCAAUUGAGUUGUACUACGUAUACUACAGAAAAAAGGAGAAUGAGAACUCGCUGAAAAACACCAGCUUAAAUAACUAAAAGAUCAAAGAGGAGGAGCACCCACACCCACACUUACUUGUUUUAAACAAGGCUGUCCUGAUCUCAAGGUUGUGCAAUUGAGUCCCACAUGGAGGUCCAUGCUCAGCGUGGAGUCUGCUGGAGAUUCUCCUUCUCCCUCUACCCCUCCACCUGUUCGCUCUUGCUCCCAACUCAUGCACGCUCUAAAAUAAAU